AGAGUUUGAUCCUGGCUCAGGAUGAACGCUAGCGGCAGGCUUAACACAUGCAAGUCGAGGGGCAGCAUGUCCAGCAAUGGAUGAUGGCGACCGGCGGAAGGGUGCGUAACGCGUGAGCAACAUGCCCUAUACAGGGAGAUACACCAGGGAAACUUGGUCUAAUAUCCCAUAGCAUUCAUUGAAGGCAUCUUUAAUGAAUUAAAGCUUCGGUGGUAUAGGAUUGGCUCGCGUGACAUUAGCCAGAUGGUGAGGUAACGGCUCACCAUAGCAAUGAUGUCUAGGGGUUUUGAGAGGAAGGCCCCCCACACUGGGACUGAGACACGGCCCAGACUCCUACGGGAGGCAGCAGUGAGGAAUAUUGGACAAUGGAUGGAAAUCUGAUCCAGCCAUGCCGCGUGCAGGAAGACGGCCUUAUGGGUUGUAAACUGCUUUUAUACGGGAGCAAUAAGGGUUACGAGUAAUCCGAUGAGAGUACUGUAUGAAUAAGGAUCGGCUAACUCCGUGCCAGCAGCCGCGGUAAUACGGAGGAUCCGAGCGUUAUCCGGAAUUAUUGGGUUUAAAGGGUGCGUAGGCGGCCAUUUAAGUCAGCGGUGAAAUUUUGCAGCUUAACUGUAACAGUGCCGUUGAUACUGUUUGGCUAGGAUUUGGUUGUAGUGUGCGGAAUGUGUGGUGUAGCGGUGAAAUGCUUAGAUAUCACACAGAACGCCGAUUGCGAAGGCAGCAUACUAAGUUUAUACUGACGCUGAUGCACGAAAGCGUGGGGAUCAAACAGGAUUAGAUACCCUGGUAGUCCACGCCGUAAACUAUGAUUACUCGUUGUUUGCGAUAUACUGUAAGCGACUGCGCGAAAGCAUUAAGUAAUCCACCUGGGGAGUACGUUGGCAACAAUGAAACUCAAAGGAAUUGACGGGGGCCCGCACAAGCGGAGGAACAUGUGGUUUAAUUCGAUGAUACGCGAGGAACCUUACCUGGGCUUAAAUGGGAAGUGACAGUUUUGGAAACAAAAUUUUCUUCGGACACUUUUCAAGGUGCUGCAUGGUUGUCGUCAGCUCGUGCCGUGAGGUGUCGGGUUAAGUCCCAUAACGAGCGCAACCCUCGUCGAUAGUUGCCAGCAUGUAAUGAUGGGGACUCUAUCGAGACUGCCGGUGUAAACCGUGAGGAAGGUGGGGAUGACGUCAAAUCAGCACGGCCCUUACGUCCAGGGCUACACACGUGUUACAAUGGUCGGUACAGUGGGCAGCUACUCAGCGAUGAGAUGCUAAUCUUUAAAACCGAUCUCAGUUCGGAUCGGAGUCUGCAACUCGACUCCGUGAAGCUGGAUUCGCUAGUAAUCGCAUAUCAGCCAUGAUGCGGUGAAUACGUUCCCGGGCCUCGUACACACCGCCCGUCAA
rnacentral:rRNA from 1 species